rnacentral:lncRNA from 1 species
CCUAAUUAUAUCAUAGGCCUCAAUAACAAGAUAAAAGAAACCAAUAGUACAGACCACUGUCCUUGGACUUAUUUAAACGAGCCCAAGUUUCAAGCAAGUCCCUUACCAAAAUUAAAGCAUGACCUGCAGUAGAGUGGCGAGAUGGCUCAAGUGGUUUCAAUGUUUUAAUCAUGGCUUCAGCGUGCAGGCUUAUAAACGGCCCAACAGCCUGCAGACUAAAUGAAUUUGUGUAGCUGUGCACUGUAUUUUGCCUCACAAUCACUUUGCAUUUAAUCACUGAUCUACUUUAGAUCUUUGUUUAACCCAAUUCAGGACACAGUCGAGAUCAGCUACUUUAAAUAAAUUGACACAACUUAACCAGUUACACUAUCCUCCAUGGAUCCAAACUCAAAUUAAUAAGAUAUUGUUCAUUUUCGAUUUUAAUUCUAUGCUCGACUCAUUCUAUUUACUUGUCUUUUGACGGAUUCUUAGAUACCACUAGGUGAAUAACAAAUUGGAAAUAAUGACUUUACUAACACAAGUAGACUGAUCAUUUCCUCAUUAAUGCAAACUAAUAUUACUAGUUAGCUAAAAUAGGUAUUAACUAAACUGAAGCUGCAACUAGAUAACUACAAAUUUAAACCGUCCCAAAACAGUCCUCCAAUUGAACACAUUCAAGUCAGAAUUAAACUACAAAUCUAACCUAUAACCAACUAUUAUUACAUCAUGAUCCAAACAAUUCAGCAGUGGUCCUAAUUAAACAGUCCUUAAUAUAAUACAAAUCAAACAAGUUAAGGCUAGGCAACUACAUAUUACUAUACUGAUUAUAACCACAAGUAUUUACGUGAGCAAAGACUUGAAAUACGACUUCAUUUUAUUCCAAUUGAAGGUUGCAUCAGGGCGAAUUCAAAUGUGUACCUGAAAAGUCGAAUUUCAACAGAAGGAAAAGAAAUCAGCAGCAGAAAUCUAGCAAGAAUCAAAACCAGCAACCAGCAGGAAUAAUUUUGAAUCGAAGUUACUUCAUAGAACCCAGAACCAAGUCACAACAAUACAUCACCCAAAACAGGAUCAAUUGAACUCGAAUAUACCCAAAAGCAGAAUCAAUAGACUUCAGAACAAAUUCAGUAACCAGAAUUUGUCCAGAUCUAGAAAUGCAAUGGAACGGUACAUUUUUUGGUUUUCGAAGAGUUUUUAUUAUUAUUUUUAUCCAGAUCUCAAUUUGAGUCUCAAACUAUAGGAUAUUUGGGGAGAAUUUUUUAGGCUCUCCAAAUUUGAGACAAGAGGGGUUGCUCUUAUGGUAAGCAACCCCCACUUCCAAUCGAGAGGUUGUGAGUUCGNNNNNNNNNNNNNNNNNNNNNNNNNNNNNNNNNNNNNNNNNNNNNNNNNNNNNNNNNNNNNNNNNNNNNNNNNNNNNNNNNNNNNNNNNNNNNNNNNNNNNNNNNNNNNNNNNNNNNNNNNNNNNNNNNNNNNNNNGGAGGGAAGGAUGCCGGAGGUCUAUUUGGAAACAACCUCUCUACCCAAGGGUAGGGGUAAGGUCUGCGUACAUACUACCCUCCCAAGACCCCACUAAGUGAGAUUAUACUGGAUUGUUGUUACUGUUGUUAAACUUGUUCUUCAAGGCAUUGGUGAUGCCUUUUAUAGGCAAAAAUGAGGCGCAAAUCAGAUUUCUGUUUGCCCUUUUUAGUCCCCGCUUAUUUUCAGUUCACUCCUCUAAUUAUUAACUUGUUACUCAAGUAAGCACGCUAAGUUUACUGAAAUAUGCACUAAAGUCCUAUUCUAGAAGAUUUUAAGAUAUUCUAGUGUUAACUACCAUGUUCUGCUGAAUACCAAAUACCUAAACUACCCUUGAAUACCUCUAAAAUUACUUACUAAACUAUCUUCUAACGAACCAUAGUUAAUUGGCUACCAAGAUAAGAAUUAAUCAGCUAUAACCCAACACCUAAACUAAUCAAAAUCAAACUGAAAUAAAGACCUACUAAAACACAGAAUAAAAGGAUAAACAAUGAUUAACAGGGUCAAAAUUAAACUAAGGGAAACAACUACUAAAUCAAUCCCAAUUAUUCUAAAAAAAAUCAGAAAAUUUUGAAAGUAAUUAUAAUCACCUAACAAACGAACAAAUUAUGAUUAUUAAGAAGAAACUAAACACAACAGAAACUAACCACAAUUCGACUAAAUUAACGAAAAAGUGCUUGACCUAAAUAAAAAUCAAUCCAACACUAACAAAAACAAAAAUAAGAAAAAGAACAAAUCAAAUCUAAACAGAGUAAAACUAACUAAAAAAAUCGAAGGACUAAGAAAGCUUACCGGUUGUUCUUCAAUUUUAGGAUUCAGACGAUUCCAGUGGGAUUUGAAUGUUAUUGACUGUGAAUUCUUCAAGGGGGAAGCCAAAGGACCAUAUGGUAUUAACUUGGGGUAAUUUGGUGCAACUAGGGUUUUUGGCCGGAAAAUUUCAAACUUAAAUUUGAGGGGUUCCAUUUAGAUUCGAAGGGUGGGGCUUUGGGGGUUCGAUAGAGGAGGGGGAGAGGAACCUAUGGGGUUAUUUUGGACUGGUUUGGGAAGAGUUGUGUUCUGGCCAGAAAAUCUUCAAUCGAUUAUUCGACGGGUUCUAGUGUGUUUGAGGGAAACCGCUUAGAUAUUUGGAAAGAAGGGACGGAGAGGAACAAGGGCUGUUAAUUUUGGUGGGGUUUUGUGGUGGCACCGCCAUCACUGGCGGUGGGAGAAAGAGGCGGCGGGAUUAGGGUUCUUGAGAGAGGUCUCUGGAGAAGAGGAGUGAAGGAGACGAGAGUAGGUCGGGGGUAUAGUUAGGACUGUUAUAUACCAAGAAGACCCUACUUCCUGACUGUUUGAUGAAUUAACAUCUACGACCAGCAUUUAAACUUAAUUAAACAGGGUCGUUU